rnacentral:rRNA from 1 species
AGGGCCAUCGCUCAACGGAUAAAAGCUACCCUGGGGAUAACAGGCUUAUCUCCCCCAAGAGUCCACAUCGACGGGGAGGUUUGGCACCUCGAUGUCGGCUCAUCACAUCCUGGGGCUGUAGUAGGUCCCAAGGGUUGGGCUGUUCGCCCAUUAAAGUGGUACGCGAGCUGGGUUCAGAACGUCGUGAGACAGUUCGGUCCCUAUCCGUCGCAGGCGUAGGAAAUUUGAGAAGACCUGUCCUUAGUACGAGAGGACCGGGAUGGACGUACCUCUGGUGUACCAGUUGUCCUGCCAAGGGCAUGGCUGGGUAGCUAUGUACGGAAUGGAUAAGCGCUGAAAGCAUCUAAGCGCGAAGCCAACUUCAAGAUAAGAUUUCCCACCGCAAGGGUAAGACCCCAGAAAGACUAUCUGGUUGAUAGGUCGAAGGUGUAAGUGCAGCAAUGUAUUUAGCUUAUCGAUACUAAUAGGUCGAGGACUUGACCAAU